rnacentral:lncRNA from 1 species
ACAGAGCACGGCGAGCGCACGGCGCGGCUGCCGGCCCGCGCCCUUAACCCUUCUAUGCACCCGGGCUGGAGCGGCGCUCGCUCCAGGGGAGGCCGGGUUGUCUCUCCGCAACUGUGGCUCCGGAUCCCCGACACCGACCGGAGGGGACUGUGCCUUCCAGCCCUGCGUCAUCCGAGGCAAGGCCCGCGCCUGCUGCCUUGGCUUGCAACUCGGGAAAGUUCUCAGGCUUCCCCAGCUUGCACUGGCACCCUCACCUUUCCUGCCUGGACAAGCUGGCGACCUCCCGGUCCUCCUUUCAAAUUCUGCUGGUCUCGAAAUCUGCUGUGGGCAUGGAACGCCUCAGCUCUAGCUAGCCCUGGUAACCGACCUCACUCACUCCUCAGGGCUAACUGUGGAUCAUUCAUUUCAUCGCAAGCGAGGUAACCUGUGCACUGAGCAGUCAGUCGAUGGUGGUUCUCGGGGAAACCAAGCGAAGGAACGCUCCCCCACCCACCUUGUCCCGGUGGCUAAACGCAGACGUGGACUCCCCACCCGGCCCCCUCCGGCUACACCUCAGCCAAGCGUAAGCUCGAGGGAAGAACUCUUCUCUGGAGGCGUUCACCUUGCCAACAGGUGUGGCACCCGAAAGAAGAGCCAUCACAUCCCCACGAGGGUCGCUCAGUGCCGCGUUCUCUUUGCAGCAGAAAAUUCUUGAAGACCAGUAGGUGUCAGGCCAGCAUCUGACCUCUUUCAGGUGCUUAGAACUGAGAGUCUGGAAACUCGAUCCCUUGGUCUCGCUGGAAGCCACUACUAUUUAUUGACUCUAAGCCGGAUUUGAGAGACCUUUUGGCUCCGUUUACGUAUGACCCAACAAUUAGUCACUGUCUGAAGCAGCGUACAGAAUCACCAAGAGAAACGUGUGCGCGUUUAAACUACUGUAUUGUGGAGCCGGCACUUCAGAAGUUAAAUUAAAAAAAUAAUAAUAAAAUAAAAUAAAAGAGAUGCA